GUGCCACCCAACUUUGUCCCUAAGGAUAUGAAAAUUGUGCAUGUGAGGUUCACCAUUGGCAGGGACCACUGCUACAUCUGCCUUGGUCAUCAAGAUUGGUUCCUUUGGUCUGCCUCAAAAAAAAAAAAUGUUGGUCAUGGUAUUACCAAAGCAAUCAGUAACUGGACACUGACAUGUCAUUAGCAUGACACUGACACUCUAGAACAGACAGAACCAGAUUUAGGUGGUGCCCUCUGCCUCUUCAUGACAACCAAAACCCUCUCAGAGCCACCAAGAGACAGAAAAAAAAACAAGAGAACAUUAAGCACAAUAGAAAUGUUACUUUUAAUGAGAUUAUCAACAUUGCCUAGCAUAUGUGACAGUGGUCUUUAGCCAGAGAGCUUUCUGGAAAUAUUAAGAACCUGGGUACUACAUAGUCUGUGGGUUGAACUAUGAAUGGCUGCCAUCCUCAUGAUGUCAUAGAUGACAUCAACAGUGGUGCAGUGGAGUGUCCAGCUAGCUAA
rnacentral:lncRNA from 1 species